UCCCAGGUGGCUCAGAUGGUAAAAGCGUCUGGCUAUAAUACGGGAGACCCGGGUUCAAUCCCUGGGUUGGGAA
rfam:TPA: Bos taurus chromosome 4, whole genome shotgun sequence.